rnacentral:rRNA from 2 species
ACGACAUUAGCGAGUGUGAACCACCUGAUCCCAUCUCGAACUCAGAAGUGAAAGUGCUUAGCGCCGAUGGUAGUGUGGGGUUUCCCCAUGUGAGAGUAGGUCAUUGUCA